rfam:Zea mays cultivar B73 chromosome 1, whole genome shotgun sequence.
CCUCUUCGUACUGACGAGAUCAUUGCAUACCUCCUGGCUGGCUUGCCUUCGUAUUACGAUCCGUUUGUUACUUCGAUCACCAUGAAGACCGAGUCCCUCACGCUCGAUGAUUUCUACGCCCAUCUCCUGGCCUUUGAGG